rnacentral:rRNA from 1 species
UCCCAGACUCCUACGGGAGGCAGCAGUGGGGGAUAUUGCACAAUGGGGGGAACCCUGAUGCAGCGACGCCGCGUGGGUGAAGGAGCGUUUCGGCGCGUAAAGCCCUAUCGGCAGGGAAGAAGGAGGACGGUACCUGACUAAGAAGCCCCGGCUAACUACGUGCCAGCAGCCGCGGGAAUACGUAUGGUGCAAGCGUUAUCCGGAUUUACUGGGUGUAAAGGGAGCGUAGACGGACUUGCAAGUCUGAUGUGAAAAUCCGGGGCCCAACCCCGGAACUGCAUUGGAAACUGUAUAUCUAGAGUGUCGGAGAGGCAAGUGGAAUUCCUGGUGUAGCGGUGAAAUGCGUAGAUAUCAGGAGGAACACCAGUGGCGAAGGCGGCUUGCUGGACGAUGACUGACGUUGAGGCUCGAAAGCGUGGGGAGCAAACAGGAUUAGAUACCCGAGUA